rnacentral:rRNA from 1 species
UACAGAGGGGGCAAGCGUUGUUCGGAAUUACUGGGCGUAAAGCGCGUGUAGGCGGGUUUCCAAGUCAGAUGUGAAAUCCCUGGGCUCAACCCAGGAACUGCAUUUGAAACUGGGAGUCUUGAGUAUCGGAGAGGAAAGCGGAAUUCCUGGUGUAGAGGUGAAAUUCGUAGAUAUCAGGAGGAACACCGGUGGCGAAGGCGGCUU